AACAUGAUGGACUACAAGUCUGGGCUGCUGUUUUCUUUCAUCUGCUUUACAGGAGUUUAUUGUCAGACUCUGACAGAAUCUGAACCUGUGGCUAAAAGACCAGGAGAUUCUCACAAACUGACCUGUACAGCCUCUGGAUUCACAUUCAGCAGCUACAACAUGCAUUGGGUCAGACAGGCUCCUGGGAAGGGACUGCAAUGGCUUGCUGAGAUCAGUAGUAGUGGAAGUGGCACAUGGUAUUCUCAGUCAGUCCAAGGCCGGUUCACCAUCUCCAGAGACAACAGCAAACAGCAGGUGUAUCUGCAGAUGAACAGCCUGAGAACAGAAGAUUCUGCUGUUUAUUAUUGUGCUCGAGAGAAGAAAAAUAAAUCUUAUAAUCUUGUCUUCUAUUAUAUGUCACUGUUCAGGAAUGUUGGUGUGUGA